rnacentral:misc_RNA from 1 species
AACCUAGCACACCUGCGGUGUGUACCUGCGGAAGGAUCAUUACCGAGUUAUACAACUCAUCAACCCUGUGAACAUACCUAUAACGUUGCCUCGGCGGGAACAGACGGCCCCGUAACACGGGCCGCCCCCGCCAGAGGACCCCCUAACUCUGUUUCUAUAAUGUUUCUUCUGAGUAAACAAGCAAAUAAAUUAAAACUUUUAGCAACGGAUCU